CGAGAUCUUCACGGGAAGAAGAAGGAGGAGCUGCGGAAACAGCUGGAUGACCUGAAGGUGGAGCUGUCCCAGCUGCGCGUCGCCAAAGUGACAGGCGGUGCGGCCUCCAAGCUCUCUAAGAUCCGAGUCGUCCACAAAUCCAUUGCCCAUUUUCUCACAGUUAUUAACCAGACUCAGAAAGAAAACCUCAGGAAAUUCUACAAGGGCAAGAAGUACAAGCCCCUGGACCUGCGGCCUAAGAAGACACGCGCCACGCGCCACCGGCUCAACAAGCGCGAGGAGCACCUGAAGACCAAGAAGCAGCAGUGGAAGGAGCGGCUGUGCCUGCUGCGGAAAUCCAGUGGGCAGAGUCCGGGGCACUUUUGGUAAAGAGGAAUAUAUCACAACAGACUUAUCCAUUUUUAUGAUUUACC
rnacentral:lncRNA from 1 species